rnacentral:tRNA from 1 species
GGGGCAGUAGCUCAGUUGGUCGGAGCUGCGACCGCUAAUCCGUAGGUCGUAAGUUCGAGUCCCACCCGCCCCA